UACGGAGGGUGCAAACGUUGCUCGGAAUUAUUGGGCGUAAAGCGCGCGUAGGCGGUUACUCAAGUCGGAUGUGAAAGCCCUCGGCUUAACUGAGGAAGUGCACCCGAAACUGAGUAGCUAGAGUACCAAAGAGGGUCGCGGAAUUCCCGGUGUAGAGGUGAAAUUCGUAGAUAUCGGGAGGAACACCGGUGGCGAAGGCGGCGACCUGGGUGGAUACUGACGCUGAGGCGCGAAAGCGUGGGGAGCAAACAGG
rnacentral:rRNA from 1 species